AUUUAGCAGUGCGCAUGCGCGAGCUGAGCAGCGCCAUUACAACUAAGAGGAUGACUCGGUGACGUAGUUCUUAAUUUCACCAAGAAAAGAUGUGGUUGAAGAUGCAUUCAAGAUGUUUCAAGACUCGAGGUCGGAUCUGCACAUCAAGCUUGCAAGAAGAAGAUUGGAAUCAGGAACCCUUGAGAAGAUGACACUCUGAGAUGUGCUGGAAGAUGUGUGGGGAGGCAGCCCACCAGCAAGGCCUCCCCUGAAAUGGCUGCUGAAGAGACACAAGUACAUAAAGUGCCAUAGAAGCUUUACUGUAGUGAACUAUUUGCCAUCACCCUGCAAUACACACAUGUACUUUGAUAACAUCUUCUCCACAUUCGGAGAGAUUGAAAGAGAACAGGUGAUGAGGAGGGUGACUCCAGGAAUGCAUCCCCAUUACAAUGUGAGCAUGAGGCGACCAUGCACGGACACAUGUUUAUGCCAGACCGCAACACUGUACUAAUGAAACUCAAUGCAUGCAUUAAGGACAUUCACCAAAGAGCCACUGCAAACAAAAUGAUGCUAAAUGCUGCAAAGCAUUGGUUCUUCAUUCUACAUCAAGAUUUUCACAAGAUUUUCUUCCAGUCAUUUCCAUCACGGUUUGUGAUGUGAAACCACUCAACGGAAGCCAGAAAUCUCUGUGCAGUCAUGGAUGAACAUCUACAUGUAUCACUGAAGGCACACGUCACCACCCUAUAUGCCGCUCUUCAAUGACUGUCAUCCAAAGAUGUUUUAAAUUUAGAAAAUAUAAUGAUCCGCACAAAUACACCUGGAAAUUGUUUGGUUUUCCUUUGCCGCGGCCAUCACUAACAUGAUCUGCCAUUUUGUUGAAGCAGUAGUUUGACUCCCCAAAAUGGCAGACCAUCAUAGUUCACAAAGUAUUUGGAAAACCUCACAGUUUUUAAGUACAUUAGUUUAAUUAUCCACUACUUUUAACAUGCUAUUCUUUUUAAAUGCUAUUCUGUCCAACCUGGUUCAUGUCAUAACAAACUCUUUCAUAGCCCAAAACGCCCAAAAGCAAUAUGUGUCUCUAAAAAAAUCUUGAUGAAAUAAAUGAAAUCAUUGAUUGUGAUUGCAAUGGACCGAUCCGGCCUGUCAAUCAA